rnacentral:rRNA from 1 species
UACGUAGGUGGCAAGCGUUGUCCGGAUUUACUGGGUGUAAAGGGCGUGUAGCCGGGAAGGCAAGUCAGAUGUGAAAUCUGGAGGCUCAACCUCCAAAUUGCAUUUGAAACUGUUUUUCUUGAGUACUGGAGAGGCAGACGGAAUUCCUUGUGUAGCGGUGAAAUGCGUAGAUAUAAGGAGGAACACCAGUGGCGAAGGCGGUUUGCUGGACAGCAACUGACGCUGAGGCGCGAAAGCGUGGGGAGCAAACAGG